rnacentral:lncRNA from 1 species
AUCACCCACCUCGUCUUCUGCACCACCAGCGGCGUAGACAUGCCCGGCGCCGACUACCAGCUCACCAAGCUCCUCGGCCUCCGCCCCUCCGUCAACCGCCUCAUGAUGUACCAGCAGGGCUGCUUCGCCGGCGGCACCGUCCUCCGCCUCGCCAAGGACCUCGCCGAGAACAACCGCGGCGCUCGGGUCCUCGUCGUCUGCUCCGAGAUCACCGCCGUCACCUUCCGUGGUCCCUCGGAGUCCCACCUCGACAGCCUCGUCGGCCAGGCGCUCUUCGGGGACGGCGCCGCCGCCAUCAUCAUCGGUGCCGACCCCGACCCCGCCAUCGAACGCCCGCUGUUCCAGCUUGUCUCGGCCAGCCAGACCAUCCUCCCGGACUCCGAGGGCGCCAUCGACGGCCACCUGAGGGAAGUCGGGCUAACCUUCCAUCUGCUCAAGGACGUGCCAGGCCUGAUAUCCAAGAACGUCGAGAAGAGCCUGGCGGAGGCAUUUGCUCCACUAGGGAUAAGCGACUGGAAUUCG